AUUGAACGCUGGCGGCUGGCUUAACACAUGCAAGUCGAGCGGGGAAAUGUAGCUUGCUACAUUACCUAGCGGCGGACGGGUGAGUAAUGCUUAGGAAUCUGCCUAUUAGUGGGGGACAACAUUCCGAAAGGAAUGCUAAUACCGCAUACGUCCUACGGGAGAAAGCAGGGGACCUUCGGGCCUUGCGCUAAUAGAUGAGCCUAAGUCGGAUUAGCUAGUUGGUGGGGUAAAGGCCUACCAAGGCGACGAUCUGUAGCGGGUCUGAGAGGAUGAUCCGCCACACUGGGGAUGAGACACGGACCAGACUCCUACGGGAGGCAGCAGUGGGGAAUAUUGGACAAUGGGGGGAACCCUGAUCUAGCCAUGCCGCGUGUGUGAAGAAGGCCUUUUGGUUGUAAAGCACUUUAAGCGAGGAGGAGGCUACUAGUAUUAAUACUACUGGAUAGUGGACGUUACUCGCAGAAUAAGCACCGGCUAACUCUGUGCCAGCAGCCGCCGCCGUAA
rnacentral:rRNA from 1 species